rnacentral:lncRNA from 1 species
UUUUCUCUCCCAAUUACAUUUUUAUCGCACAUUCUUCUCAAUCUCGCAUCUCUUAUGUUGUUUUUUCCAUCUUCUCUAAUCUCUCAUCUCAUAUGUUUUUUUUAAUGUUUUAUUAUAAUGUCUGUGAUAUUAUUUUAUGCUACUAUUUUAUAUAUGUUUUUCAUUUCAUUUUUUUUCUAAUCUAAUUUUUUGUAUAUUGAAUGAGAAUUUUUUGUCUAAAUAUGAUGAGUUUUGAUGUUAUUUAGUAAU